AGGGGACACAAACUAAUCUUCUCCCCUUUACAGAACUCGCGAUUUUUCUUUGGAUGCAGGCAUCCAGGUCGCAAAUCAUUGAAUACAUUCACACACUCGUACUUUUCAGGGUUAACACUAUUAGAAUGAUCACUCAUUCACCAAAUUUACUAUUUAUACACAACAUCCCCAGCAGCCACGAUAUCACAAUCAUUUAUCAGCUAAGAAAAUCUUACUUCUACUUAUUUUUGCAUUUCUGCAUAACGCUACUUAUCUG
rnacentral:lncRNA from 1 species